rnacentral:rRNA from 1 species
CGGGACGGGUGAGUAACGCGUGGAUAACCUGCCUCACACUGGGGGAUAACAGUUAGAAAUGACUGCUAAUACCGCAUAAGCGCACAGUACCGCAUGGUACAGUGUGAAAAACUCCGGUGGUGUGAGAUGGAUCCGCGUCUGAUUAGCCAGUUGGCGGGUAACGGCCCACCAAAGCGACGGUCAGUAGCCGACCUGAGAGGGUGACCGGCCACAUUGGGACUGAGACACGGCCCAA